GGGGAUUUAGCUCAGAGGUAGAGCGCUUGCCUAGCAAGUGCAAGGCCCUGGGUUCGAUCCCCAGCUCCA
rnacentral:tRNA from 1 species